GGGGGCGUAGCUCAGCUGGGAGAGCGUACGGUUCGCAUCCGUAAGGUCAAGGGUUCGAAUCCCUCCGUCUCCACCA
rnacentral:tRNA from 3 species